CCAAUAGCGUAUAUUAAAGUUGUUGCAGUUAAAAAGCUCGUAGUUGAAUUUCGGGAUUAGUACGUUGGUCGUGCCUUCGGUACGUACUGGUGUUACUGAUUCCUACCUUCUGACGAACCAUCAUGUCAUUAAUUUGGUGUGGCGGGGAAUCAGGACUGUUACUUUGAAAAAAUUAGAGUGUUUAAAGCAGGCUCGCGCUUGAAUACAUUAGCAUGGAAUAAUGAAAUAGGACGUUGACCCUAUUUUGUUGGUUUCUAGGAUUGACGUAAUGAUUAAUAGGGAUAGUUGGGGGCAUUAGUAUUCAAUUGUCAGAGGUGAAAUUCUUGGAUUUAUUGAAGACAAACUACUGCGAAAGCAUUUGCCAAGGAUGUUUUCAUUAAUCAAGAACGAAAGUUAGGGGAUCGAAGACGAUCAGAUACCGUCGUAGUCUUAACCAUAAACUAUGCCGACUAGGGAUCGGAUGAUGUUAUUUUUAAUGACUCAUUCGGCGCCUCACG
rnacentral:rRNA from 1 species